ACGGAGGAGGAAAAUUUGCAGCCUUCACCCGAUGCUCCGAAUAUUGAUGAGCAGGUUGAUUCUCUGUUAUCUCUAUACGAUCCUAGAACAUGGGAUAAUCUUGACAACGGCAAACGGGAUAUUCUAAUUGAAAAGGGGCCUGUGAGAGAAAUGGAUCUGGUGUUCCCAAAGGAUGAUGAGGGUAGACAUUUCUCAUAUUUUCACUACACCAGAAAGUUAGCUAAUGAAGAGGUUAUGCACAGAGAGUGGUUGGUUUACUCUAAAGAGGUUGACAAAGUUUAUUGUUUUUGUUGCAAGUUAUUCAAAUCAAAUCAGAACAGGUUAUUGCUAGCAUCUGAUGGAUUGAGGGACUGGAGGCGAAUUAGUGCAAGACUCAAAGAACAUGAGGUUAGUGUUGAACACUUUACCAACAUGAAUACAUGGAAUGAACUAAGGUUGAGGUUAAGCAGAAACAAAACAAUUGAUGAUGAGAUGCAGCAGAAGGUUGCAAAGGAAAAAGAGCGUUGGAGACAGGUAUUGCUCAGGAUAGUUUCUUUAGUGAAGUUUCUUGCAAAACGUAAUUUGGGAUUUCGAGGAACAAAUGAGAAGCUGUUUGAACAUAAUAAUGGCAAUUUUUUGGGCUCAGUUGAAAUGAUUGCUGAAUUUGGGCUCAGUUGA
rnacentral:rRNA from 1 species